UAUGAAAAACAUACUGCAGCUUCAGCAAAGAAGAAGAGGUAGGAAACAUUGUGCUUUAAAAGCAAGUGCACUUUUAUUGAACAGGCAGCAAGAAGCACCGCUCAGUGCUGCUGAAACAGCUGAGAGAGCAGGCAGGUCACUUUCCCUUCAUAGCAGACACUCCAACCAACACCAGUAAACAUCGCUGAAUGGCUUAGAAAUGAUCAAUAAAAGCUAAGGGUUUUAUUUAAUGGGGUUUAUUCAUACACACACACACACACACACACACACACACACACACACACACACACACGUAGCUAGUGUAUAUAUAUUGACCUCAUAGUGUUCAGAUGUGCAACAUCAUUUAUCUGGAACCCAAAGUAUUCUCAGAUAGAACAGCGUGGAUCUUCUCCCAUACACAGCCAGAUAAGAGGUGAGUACAGUUUUAAACUUAUUUACACCUGAAGAAUCAAAUCAAAGAGAAAAAGAACCAGAAUAUAGAUAGAGAACCUCUCUCUCUCACUCUCUCCCAUUACUCUCUCUCUCUCUCCCAUUCUCUCUCUCUCCCAUUAUCUCUCUCUCUCUCUCUCUCUCUCUCUCUCUCUCUCUCUCUUUGUCUGUCUUUGAUUCCAGUCACUGAGCUGACCUUCAGAAGUAUCCGCCUGUGCUUUCAGGGGGCAGGAAUUACAAAUCUAGGAGAUGUGAGAGUUGGUGAGGACUGGAAAUCUGGUGAAGUUCUAGGUGCUGCAACUGGUAUUAUGUCUGUUCGACUGCUUCAGAGAAUCACAGGAGAAGUGAUCUCACUGCCCACUUCUCUUAGGGGGGCCUUAGAGCACCACUCAGGUGGAGACCAGGAGCCCUUCGCUUCUCUCCCUAUUACUGCUGAAAUAGGGGAUUAUCAGGAGGAGGAGGGAGCACUUCUCUCGUUCAGGACUCCACAACUAGCUGGCUUUGCAGAUGUAUCCAAGAAGGCGCUGUAUGACGUCUGUGUGAAAGUCCUUCACAGAACCUCACUGGAUGGCUUGAAGGAAUCGAGGUGGUUGGGUGUGUUGGCACCAGGCUCUUCACCACAAGGCAGUUGGAGAUCCCUGUACAAGCUUCUAAUCGAGAAGCGCCCGGGGGAUCUGCAGUGGAGGAUUGUGCUUAUUUUAAGACGACUCAUAACCUGCCUGCCUUUCAUCGAGUGCGGGGACAGGGUGGGGUUUUAUGUGAAGGGGUGAGCAUGCAAGGGAUGCCAAAUAUCUCUGUAUCAGGCUAUGCAGAUGACGUCUCUGUGUUUGUGAGCAACAGAGUGGAUGUUCAAUAGCUGGAGGUUACACACAUACAUUUGCUGUGGAGCAAAACAGGUCUCAAAGUGCUGGGAAUUCAUCUAGGCUCUGCAGAAGUGGUGAAGAAAAACUGGGAGUGUGCCUUGACGCGAAUAUCUGAGAGGCUAGCGAGAUGGACGUGGCUGCUGUCGCAGGUGUCUUACGGAGGACGGGUGCUGAUAAUUAACAGCUUGGCGGCAUCCACCCUGUGGCACAGACUGGCCGUGCUCAACGCACCUCUUGGCCUGUUAGCUGAGCCUUUAGGCUCAAGGCUGCACAGCACCUGCUCUACCACCUGGACCUGUGCUGGAGGGAAACUGCACACGCACUGCUCAGGAAAGCUGGAAGCAUGGGACUUUACCGACACCUUUUCCUCCUCAAUGCUAACGAGCUGGAUCUCUCAGGCUUGGAGGACUUCUACGCAUCAGAUAUUUACCAGCACAUACAAAUGUUUGUAAGGGUGUUUUCACAUGUAGUUCUUUAUGAAUGAACCAAAUUCAGUUCUAUUAAAGUGAACCAGCUACAACGGACCCAGUGCUGUCUGUGUCCACAAUGUAAGCACAUUUUAAAGGGGACUUGGUUCUCUUUCGCAUUGAUGUGAUCUCAGAUCACUUGUUGUUCACAUCAGAACUCAUUUAGAACUCAGACGGUACCUGAUAACACCAAAUUAUGAGUAGUGUUAUUCAGCUUCAUCAUAUAACAGAUCUGACAGGUCGAGCUACGUUUGGCCUUCAAUAGCCCCAAAGCUAUGAAACACCAUUAAAAAGUCACUGUUGUUAAUGAAAUCCUGUUUCAUUAAUCCAAAGCAAACCAGCAGCCGGCAGACAGCAGUAAACCAGCAAGACUCAGAAACUAUCAACACACAGAUUGAGGCAGCUGAGCUGUGGCUAAAUAGGGAGCAGAAUGAAGAUCAGGUGAGGGGCGGAGCCGGUGAUCAUUAAGCCAGUGACACCAAGUGGGUCAGAGAUAAUGGGGAUAAUGGGACCUUGGAGUGUUACAUUAUGUAAGUAUAGAUGUUUAAAAAAAAUGAGAGGUGUGUUUAAAAUGUUAGAGAGCCACUAAAACAUGCUUUAUGAGUUGACUUUAAACAGUAAUAACUACUUACAAGGAAAAAAUAUAUGUAUUUUAUUUAACAUACUUUAUUUCGGUCAUAGACGUGUUUUUCUCCUAAUGUCUCCCACAAACAUGAACCAUUUUACCUCCUUUAGUUCCUGCUUCACCAGUUCAGCUCAGUACGCUCCUUUUAAGUCGACCUCAGUGAUCUUAGAAGCGAAGCACUUCAUGGAACUGGGUUGUAACUCACUCACCAACGUUUAAAGCAGCAUUUUGUGAGAAUUGGCAUUUUUGCUCUUUUUACGCAGCUUAACCACUUCUUAAGCUCAAAUAGCUGCUCUGAUGAAUUUUAAUCUGGCUUUCGCCCUGAUCACAGUACAGAAACUGCUUUAGUAAAGAUUCUAAAUGACAUCCGUCUGAACUCUGAGUCUGAAAUUUCGGUUCUGGUACUCUUGGAUCUUAGGGCUGUCUUUGAGGCUGACCAUAGGAUUCUUGUAGAUAGACUGCAAAACUGGGUAAGACUCUCUGAAAUAGUCCUAAAUUGGUUCAAAUAAUAUUUACAUGGCAGAAACUACCUUGUUGCACUCGGCAACGAUAAAUCAGAGCGAAUUCCUCUAACUUGUGGAGUCCCACAGGGAUCGAUUCUUGCACUGUUUCUCUUUUACAUGCUACCACUUGGCCAAAUUCUGCAGGACCAUAAAAUUGCCUACCAUAGCAGAUGCAGUUAUCAUUACAGUACAUAGUCACUGGUUCAUUCACUGGAGGCACCACUGCACUGUCAGCUGCAUAGUAUUUAUGCAAUUUACUUCUUAAUUUUGUACUUUACAUUAAUUUUGUUUUUAGUAUAUUUUUAUUUUACACUUUUAUUUCAUGUUAUUGUAUUAUUUAUCUUUACUCUCUAUUUAUGUAUCUGUAAAUACUGUAAGACAAUAUUUUGCUCCUGUUCAUUUGGCUCUUGUUUUGCUCUGUACUGUGGUUUGUACUGCAGCAAUAGAAGAAUUUCCCUCUGGGAUUAAUAAAGUGAUCUAUCUAUCUAUCUAUCUAUCUAUCUAUCUAUCUAUCUGUCUGUCUGUCUGUCUAAUCUUAUGAGUAAUACUAGUACUAUUACUCCUAAUAAUAGUGUAAAUUGCCUCCUUCUCAAAAUCAAACAGUUCAAAGACUCAAAACAUACUUAUCUAAAUAUACAAUUACAUGGAUAUCUUUGUUUUUGGUGUUAUUACAGUUAUGAAAGGAACAUUAUAUUUGGGUGCUUUGUAUUUUUAGAAAUUAUUUUAUCAAUUUUUUAUUAAACCCAUAAUAAUACUGAUAAAACCAAAUAUUAUCAUACAUCAUUAUUUAAAAACAAUUACAUUCUGAUUAUUAUUGUUAUUAUUAUUAUUAUUAUUAAUGUUAAAUGGUAAUAAUAAUAAAUGGUUCUUAUACUGAGUUCGUGACUGUCUCAUAGCGGACGCGCUGCAUCAGCUGACGGACCGCUUUUCCAUGAGUUCUAGUUCCUGGGCGGGUCGCUGUUGAGCGAACUGACCCGGCAGCGUCCAACUGAUUCUCUGUAAACACGGAGCUACGGAAUUUAUCAAACCCGCGGACAAAACUACAGAAGAGAUAACAAAAACAGCCAUUAACAGACUCUAUUUGGUAUAUAUUGUAAUGUUUUCCCACAGUUGGCUGGCCGUUAGCUAGAUAACGCUAACGCUAGCUAACACGCUAAUGGGCUAAUAACCCAGCUAACAUGAAGAGACAGUCCGAGCUCGGCUACUUUGCUGCUUCGGCUAAGAGUUUUGGCACAGCGGAAUCGGGACGGGUACAGGUUUGGCUCGACAUCUGAUGUUUCGCCGUGAAGAAUCCACCUUUACAAGCUGCAGGCAACAAAGAAAUUGACCAGAGACCUCCACACCUGUUAAGGGACGAGUGUAUUUAGCACAGUGAGGGGAAUCAGUGACUCAGUGAUGAGCUGGAGCUCCUGAUGUACUAAACUGGGAUCACAGCUGUCAGUCCUGCUGAAAAUGGAUCAUUAAUAACUGAUAAUCAGGACCAGCACCAGAGUGUCGGUGGAUCCAUCCGACUAGGGAUAAGAGGAGCCACAGCUCUCACUGACAUCCCCUAAAAGAUGCAUAACAAAGGAAUACAGGGGAGUAACAUUUUAUUUCACUUAAAUGUCUAUACUUCUGAUGGUUAUGCUACCAGUCACUAGGGCUGGUGAUGGGGUGUAAAACCCCAUCACAGUUAUCUUAAAAGGUAUGAGAAAUAAUACAGACACUUAAUUUGAAAAACUAAAACCUAAAUGCUUAUUUUACUGAAAUCCUACUGAUAAAUCACUUACAUAAUCAUUUGGAACACAGUGUAGUGAUGACAUGCUAGCAGAGUUGUUCGUGAUCGUUAGUGAAGUUAUGUCUGUUGUGUCUGUAAUGUUUAGCCCGUGGCUUAUGGUGCAUGUGACGUUUCUUAUGCUGUAAUUUGACAGCGUUUAUUGAGAGAUGGCUGCUGUAGCCGAGAGAGAAACAUGUAGGCCAUCUGUCCCGAACAGCUGUCCAAACCCUCAGUGCAGGGUCAGGUUUGGAGACUGUACUUGUAGCUGCACAGCUCUGUCUGGGUCGUUACCUGGCUAUGAUCUUAUACUCUGAGCUCUGUUUUAUCUGCAUGUAAACACAGUCACUAAAGCAGCUUUUCAUCAUGUGAGAAACAUCACUAAAAUUCUUUUCUCUCUCAGAGCGACGCUGAGAAACUUGUUGAUGCAUUUGUUACAAGCAGAGUUGAUCACUGUAAUGAUCUUCUUACUGGACUUCCUAAAAAACAAUAUAUCCUCUACAGCUCGUACAAAACACAGCAGCAUCCUAACAAAAGCUAAACAGAGAGAUCAGAUCACUCCCGUCUUUAAAAGAGCUGCACUGACUGCCUGUAUCAUUCAGGAUAGAUUUUAAAGCUCUCUAAAUGACCUUAAAGCACUGCUUACAUCACAGAGUGUCUGUCUUUUUAUGUUCCAGCACGAGAUCUUAGAUCUGCAGAUACUGACCUUCUGCAAAUACCUUCUGUAAAAUACAGAAAACAUGGAGAGACUCGUUCAGUUAUUACGCUUCACCUUUUAUUACCUUUUAUUUUUAUUAUGUUCUCUUUUUAUUAGACAGUCAAGCUCAUAGCUCACUUUUUAAUUAAAAGAGGAUUAAACCUCUUUAAUUAAACCUUAAUUAAACCUCUUAAUUUGAUCUGUGUCAUGUGGUUACAAUAAUAGGCAAAUCAUAUAAAUCCUAUAUUGGAAAUAGUACAAAGACAACAUAUCAUACGUGUACAUGUUUACCACUGUGUUAUAUCAUCUCUUCUUUCAACACUCGGGGUCUUCUUUGUCAUAUUUUUCGUUUCAUAGUGCUCCAAAUGUUUUCAGUGGUGACAGGUCUGGACUGCUGGCAGGUCAGUUUAGCACCCGGACUCUUACUAUAGAGUCAUGCUGUUGUAAUAGCAUUGUCUUGCUAGAAUACUCAAGGCCUUGCCUGAAAAAAGAUGUCGUCUGGACAGCAGCACAUUUUGCCAAAACCAUAUAUCAGGGGUCUUUAAUUCAAAUUCAGUAAGGUCCAGUCAAAGAAAAUUUCCUCAGCUUGAUUCCAUCAGCACACAGUUAAAAAGCCAGUAUUCAUGAUGGUACAGGGGUGCAUUAGUGCACAUGGCAUGGCUGACGUGCACAUCUGUGAAGUCAGCAUUAACGCUGAAUGAUAUAUGGCAGAGGUCACUAAUAGGCGGACCGCGGUCCGAGUUCAGACCCAGACGCUGUCCUGUGUGGACCUGGACCUGUAACUGAUAAACUAUGGAUAAUUAUUUAAUUUCAACAGGGUGGUCCUAAUUUUAUCGGCGUAACAUUUCAAGUCAUUACGGCAGCCUGGGAGACUCGCAGACUAAUUGCAUGCUUGUGAAUAUCACACGACGCUACUCAGCCAAUCAGAUCUGUGCAUUACGAGGCGCACUGCGACUCAAAUGAGUGACACACACACAAGGGAGUAAAUAUUGUUGAAAUAUCACUGAAUUGUACUUUAUUUGAUUUGACAUUCAGUUGUUGACUUUUCUGCGUUUACAGUGCGUUUGUGAAAUGUAGUUCAGGUGUCGUCAUUUUGAUGAAAGUGUUUUUUGUGUUUGCAGCGCGUUUAUGAGUUUGCAAAGUGUUUUCAAUUAUACUAUCAAUAGCAUCUUGUCGGCCACUGAAAAUAUGAGCCAAAAUGAAAAAUGAAACCUCUGUUACACAGUUUUCAUGUCGCUUGACCUCUUUUUUUGUACUUCAAACAUAUUUGCUUGAUUGAAAAGCAACAAAAACAGUGAAAUGUCGUGCACACAUGAGAUUACAUUUAAACAGUAACAUACCGUAAAUGUGCCAAAAUGAAAAGUAAACGCUCUGUUACACUGAUUUAACGGAGGAAAGCAGGAUAGUGAAGACUUUUUUACGUUUCCUGGCCGAGUGUAUUCAAUUCAGACAUGAGUUCAGUCUUGUUUUUACAGCUAGGAAUUCAAGCGACGUGAGAACGUUGUGAUGGAAGGUUCGUUUUUCAUUUGGCUCGUUGUGGUAAUGUGACCAUGUGUGGCGGAGGAGAUGAAGACUUCGGGAGGACGCAAAGGUGAGGAUCCAUCAAAUCUUGUCAAUUUAUUAAAGUUUUUACAAAAAAAAGGUAAAGAAAAAUACAACAAAGGAAAAAGAAAAGAAAAUGGAUUAAAACAGCCAUCAGGCUUCUCCCAGCCUCUCAACUACCUCCAUGUUCAUGAGCCCGCCUGCUAGGCCCUGCCACCCUUAGCAGACGACACGUCUGCUCCAAGCUGUCCCUUCCUGUCACAUGCACUGCUGCCUUAAUACUUCCCCUUCCCUGGAACAUACCAUCCUAAGGAGGUUACGAACAAGAGAAGUGUAAAACCAGUACACGAUACACAUUGAUCACCAAAGACACCAUUAACGUAGAUUUCUCUACAUACGUAUCUUAAAUCUACAGCGUCAUCCAAUGGUCAAUUUCUCCCUUUUCUGUCUACAGGAGCUGCUGACCGAGGACACCCCCCUCUUGAGGAUAUCAACCAGGAGCUGCUGACCGAGGACACCCCCCUCUUGAGGAUAUCAACCAGGUACGUACCA